rnacentral:rRNA from 1 species
CGAUGAUGCCCAGCUUGCUGGGCGGAUUUAGUGGCGAACGGGUGAGUAACACGUGGGUGAUUUGCCCUGCACUUCGGGAUAAGCCUGGGAAACUGGGUCUAAUACCGGAUAUGACCACAGGAUGCAUGUUUUGUGGUGGAAAGGUUUACUGGUGCAGGAUGAGCCCGCGGCCUAUCAGCUUGUUGGUGGGGUAAUGGCCUACCAAGGCGACGACGGGUAGCCGGCCUGAGAGGGCGACCGGCCACACUGGGACUGAGACACGGCCCAGACUCCUACGGGAGGCAGCAGUGGGGAAUAUUGCACAAUGGGCGAAAGCCUGAUGCAGCGACGCCGCGUGAGGGAUGACGGCCUUCGGGUUGUAAACCUCUUUCAGCAGGGACGAAGCGCAAGUGACUGUACCUGCAGAAGAAGCACCGGCUAACUACGUGCCAGCAGCCGCGGUAAUACGUAGGGUGCGAGCGUUGUCCGGAAUUACUGGGCGUAAAGAGUUCGUAGGCGGUUUGUCGCGUCGUGUGUGAAAUCCCGCAGCUCAACUGCGGGCUUGCAGGCGAUACGGGCAGACUUGAGUACUGCAGGGGAGACUGGAAUUCCUGGUGUAGCGGUGAAAUGCGCAGAUAUCAGGAGGAACACCGGUGGCGAAGGCGGGUCUCUGGGCAGUAACUGACGCUGAGGAACGAAAGCGUGGGUAGCGAACAGGAUUAGAUACCCUGGUAGUCCACGCCGUAAACGGUGGGCGCUAGGUGUGGGUUUCCUUCCACGGGAUCCGUGCCGUAGCUAACGCAUAAGCG